rnacentral:rRNA from 1 species
AAUAGAUACCCCGGUAGUCCACGCCCUAAACGAUGUCAACUAGCUGUUGGGGCCUUUCGGGCCUUGGUAGCGCAGCUAACGCGUGAAGUUGACCGCCUGGGGAGUACGGUCGCAAGAUUAAAACUCAAAGGAAUUGACGGGGACCCGCACAAGCGGUGGAUGAUGUGGAUUAAUUCGAUGCAACGCGAAAAACCUUACCUACCCUUGACAUGUCUGGAAUGCCGAAGAGAUUUGGCAGUGCUCGCAAGAGAACCGGAACACAGGUGCUGCAUGGCUGUCGUCAGCUCGUGUCGUGAGAUGUUGGGUUAAGUCCCGCAACGAGCGCAACCCUUGUCAUUAGUUGCUACGAAAGGGCACUCUAAUGAGACUGCCGGUGACAAACCGGAGGAAGGUGGGGAUGACGUCAAGUCCUCAUGGCCCUUAUGGGUAGGGCUUCACACGUCAUACAAUGGUCGGGACAGAGGGUCGCCAACCCGGCGAGGGGGAGCCAAUCCCAGAAACCCGAUCGUAGUCCGGAUCGCAGUCUGCAA